GCGCGCGGACGUUGGGGGCGGCAGUGGGCGUGGCCUCCGGAGUCGGCUGAGAGCAGCUGCUCCUUCAAAGCGAGAGGGCGGUCUGUCUGCGCAGGCGCGGGGCGACGGGUACAGCAGUCGCCUCCUUUGCUUUUUUUUGCUGUCUCGAGUCUGGAGGAAAGGAGGAGGAGGAGGAGGCCUUCCUUUAGAGGGGUCAUCUUGGUACUAUUUGGUAUCCUCCAAAUCUUAGUACUGUUAUCUAAGUACAUUGGACUGCAGUAUUUAACACUAUAGACACUUCUCUCAUUAUUGCGAAGACAAGAAGCGCUGGCAAACUUUGCUUCAUUCCUGGUGAAGCAGCGUUGAAGAACAGCAGAAUUUUAGAGUGAAUUUUAGUUAUUUAUGAAAUAACUACUGACUUAAACUUAACUUGGAAACUUGGAAGGUGGCAAACAUGGAGCAGUAUCCAUGUGAUGAAAGUCCCCUCCAAUCUGAGAUGCAGCUUCCUGAGUUUUCGGGGAAUCCAGUGUUGGACUGUAAUGACAGUUUCAGCAAUGACUUAUGCCCAGAUAUGAGAGACAUGAUUUAUUCGGGUCUCAACAACGUGGAUGUGGAUCCUAGCCUUUCAGCCACAAGUGUCAAUAAUGACUCGUUGGAGGACAAUCUGGACACCUUGACCUUAUAUACCAUGAAGGACUGUGAUUCUUCUAAACUCCUUGAUGAUUCUGACAUGGACUCACGGCCGCUCUUGCCUGAAAUAGGGCUUCCUGCUCCUUCUGCACCAAAAGAAGUGGAGCAAGGAGGCCGAUCCAGUUCUGGCAGUGGAAAGAAAGGAAAGAACCAGCAAAACUCCCCACAAGCGUCUUUACUGGAUUGCAGUGUCUGUGGGAAGGCUUUCAGUAGCACCAGCUCACUCAGCAAGCAUUAUCUGACUCACAGCCAGGAGCGGAAGCACGUCUGUAAAAUCUGCAGCAAAGCAUUUAAGCGGCAGGACCACCUGAGUGGUCACAUGCUAACGCACCAAAAAACAAAACCAUUUGUUUGCACAGAACAAGGUUGCAAUAAGAGUUACUCAGACCACCGAUCUCUUCGUCGGCAUUAUGAAAUGCACCAUGGUUUGAAGUUGUUAAAGGAUGAUGAGCUUUGCGAUGGCUCCCCUCCUCCACGUGAGCCACGUGCCCAGAUGGGACCCAGUAGCAUGAGAAGUGCAGAGAAGCAGGUUGUUCACCCUGAACCUCAAGCCCCAAAUGAGUUCCUCUUGACCAAUAGAGACCUGCUCAAGUGUAUUGUCAGUAGCUUUGUUGGCCAGAAGUUUUCACCUGCAGCUUCACCCUCCGUGGGACAGAACGAACCAAGUUCCAGAAGUUCCUUGCAACCUUGCACCUCUCUUUGUGGCCAGAUUUCUUCUGUCCCCACAAGUUCUGAAGCCACUGGAGAUAAAGACAUGAAGGAGCUUUAUUCUUCUCAAAAGAGUGCAGCUUCUUCCAGUUUAUAUACUAUCAUAAAUCCUGGAAGUUUAUCUGUACUUGGACCAACCGAGAACUUAACAAAUUUACAAGACGGGCAACCGUAUCCAGAAUCUCACUUCCCUUUAGAAACCACACCUCCAGAGUAUUGGUCAAACAGUGGUAUCCCUAGUUUCUCAUUACUCCGAGGCCAAAAGAUUCCUGCCACUCCUCUCCAGCCAAGUGGCAGCUUCCAGUUGGUUAGGAGUGUUCCGUCAACCUGCACCAAAAGCAAAGGAAGUAGUGUCUAUGUUGCCCAGGUGUCACCCACUUCGGGUCAAGAUGUUUUACAAGGAGUUGGGGGUCCUUCCCCUGCUUUGGAUUCUUCGUCACAUAACGUUGAGCAUCCUGGUGUUUUGCCGUUCACUCCCCUCUUAAAGGCGCAAGAGGAAGUACCCAGAGAGCCAAAAUUCAGUGGCUUUGAAGAGACUUUCACGCCAGCAACAGGGUUUCCUGAUGCUCUGCAGCGCAGUGUCCUGCAGAAGGGUGAAACAGGGCCAGUCUUUAGGCAGCUAUUUGUAAAAUCUCAAGGAUCUUCUGUGAACCAGGACCAGGUACAAGUCCAGAGUCACCUCUUCCACAGGAUUACCAAAUCUCAGCACAUUGUGUCUCAUGCCCAGAUUUCCGCUUCUUCGCAACUAAUAGCUGGCGAGCCGGAGCCGGUUAUGGCAAAACCAUUGCAAAGCUUGUUGCAGCAGCAGGCGGGUAUGCUUAACCCAAUUCCAGAACCAACAAAGAGGGAAAUGUCUUCUUUAUGUGCGAAGAAGGCCCCAGUGCCAUUUCAGAAGGACCUCUCCUCUGAAAAUGGAAAAGAAGCGCAACGGUCUGCUACUCUUCUGCAGCCCUUUCAGUCAUUCCCUGUACCUUCUCUAAGUUCAGAUGGUAUAUCUCAUGUUACGCAGGCCAGAACCUUGAAAGCAGGAUGCUUGGGAUUCAAAGAAAUCUCCAGCUCCAACCAAUCAGUCAUGUAUGAAACCGCCCCAGGAAACCACACUUACGGGAAGCUGAGCCACUUAGAGAAUGGCUGUCCCGGAUCAAAGAAGAAAGAGAAGAGCAAGGCUUGCACCAAACAAUCAGGUGGCAAAGGGCCUUCUCGAGGGGGUCGACCCCGUCGGAAAGAGAAGCCAAAGUUGGAUGUGUCUUCCAUUGUGUCUCCCAGUCAAGUAGCCAUGGCAUCUUUUUCCAUGCCCAGUACCUCAUUUGACAGUGGGGCCAGAGGGAAGCCAAAGCUACCCAUUUUCAACAGAAUUCAGGGUGGAAAUAUCUACAGUUUUACUAAUUCAGUAAGGGAAGAACACAUUUCCCCUGGAUGUAGUAAGACUGGAGACUGGAGUGAGCAUGGAAACAGCUUUGUUUGCAAGACCUGCAACCAGCUUUUUUAUACUGAGAGAGGCCUGAGCAGUCAUAUGUGUUUCUAUAGUGACCAAUGGCAGUCUCCAUCAGGGAAGCGAAAACAGCAGGCGUCUGAGGCAGAAAAUGUUCAAGCUCAAAAACUAUCCUUGGAGGCAGCAGUGGAUGGAGACACUCCUCCAGAAAUCAAAAGGCCUUCCGAGGAUGUAGGGAUAGCACCUUUUGUCAUUCCCGUCUCUGUUCCUGUUACAACAGCCAAUCAGCAGCAAGAGGACAAAGUUGGUGAGAAGGAAAGCCAGGAUGAAUGGGAUCUCCAGGAAGGCAUGCCACCAAAGAAGAAGAAGAAACGGACCUGUCCAAAAUCACUUUUCAUUCCCCCUCCGCCGCCACUACCACCAACACCAGUCUGCAGUGACAAUCAACCUGGCCCUAGCGGAUUCUACCAGAGUAACCUUCGCUCCCCUGUCUUUCUCAUGGAUUACUUUCUGCAGGGCUUAAUCCAAUGCUCACCGUAUACACCUCCACCAAUGCUCAGCCCAAUCCGUGAGGGUUCAGGGCUGUAUUUCAACACUCUUUGGUCCGCCUCUGCAAACACUGCCCCGCCCAAGUUGCACUGUCCAGUUUUAGAUGAACGAGAUGGCCUUUUGCUUGCCUUUGUAAAAGACCCCACCAAACUCGCCGUAAAACCCCACAUUAAUAUUGGAAGUCGGUUUCAGGCAGAACUCCCUGAACUCCAGGAUAGGUCAUCAGUAGAAAACUAUGAACAUCCUGCUUCACUAAUGUGGAAACCAUGGGGUGAUAUCGCAACCAACGAGGAAACACAGAGCAAAGUGACAGACCUAUUAAAAUUGGCCUGCUCCAGCGCAAUGCCAGGAGGAGGGACCAACACAGAGCUAGCUAUCCAUUGUCUGCAUGAAACCCAAGGAAACGUUUUGGAAGCACUGAAGAUGCUUUUACUCAAAGGACCACAGAAACCACCUUCUCACUCUAUUGCCAACUAUCAUUACACAGGUUCACAACUGUGGACUACAGAAGAGAAGCAGUUGUUUAAGAAGGCCUUUGCCACACACAGAAAGGAUUUUAAUCUCAUACAAAAGAAGAUACAAACUAAAACCGUUUCCCAAUGUGUUGAAUACUACUAUAACUGGAAAAAAGUAAUAAAAUUUAACUGUGGCCGAACAUACAUGGCAGUAAAGAGGAAGAGAGUGCAGGAUGAGGUAGAAAUGGAUGAAGAAAAGAUUAUGUGCAGCCCAAAGAAAAGACACUGUCCGCAGCCUAAACAGGAGAAUAAAAUAAAGGCAAGGAAUUACAAAAAGCCAGCACAGAGCACCGUCAGUCCAACCUGCAGCCAGAACGAAACUCUAGAUAGGUCCAGAAGCGCAGGGAGUCAGGGUGUGUUCCCGUGCAAAGAGUGUGCAAGAGUGUUUGACAAGAUAAAGAGCCGGAACGCUCACAUGAAGCGCCAUCGCCUCCAGGAUCAGAUGGAACCCACGAUAAAGAUUAAGUGGCCCAUAAAGCAUCCGAAAAACGAGCCAAAGAGGGAAGAGAGAAAUUUGGGUGCUGAUUUCAUACCGUGGUAACUGGGAAAGCACCAUUCCAGGGUAAGUAUGCUGAUAAACCUGUCCAGCCCAAGGAACAAAAUCAGAAGGAUGCAUUGCAGUUUUAAACAAAACUGUAGUGCUGAUUUCAUACCGUGGUAACUGGGAAAGCACCAUUCCAGGGGUUCUGGUAUGUAUGUAUAUAUAUAUAGGAUGGAAUAGAUCAAUCACUGAGAAAUCACCAUUGCAUUUAGUAUCUUUUUUGGGACUUAUGUUUACACAGCUGCUUUUUUAUUCAUUAUGUAGUACUUUGGUUAUUGUUGUUUUGUAUGCACUCACAUUGUUAUUAAAUUUAGUUCCUUAUUAAAAGUUUUAAUGUAGAAUAUGACUAUCAUAGUGACCCAAACGUCUUAUCAUAAAUAAAUAAAUUUGUAACCCUU